UGGGGAAUUUUGGACAAUGGGCGAAAGCCUGAUCCAGCAAUGCCGCGUGUGUGAAGAAGGCCUUCGGGUUGUAAAGCACUUUUGUCCGGAAAGAAAUCCUUGGCUCUAAUACAGUCGGGGGAUGACGGUACCGGAAGAAUAAGCACCGGCUAACUACGUGCCAGCAGCCGCGGUAAUACGUAGGGUGCAAGCGUUAAUCGGAAUUACUGGGCGUAAAGCGUGCGCAGGCGGUUUGCUAAGACCGAUGUGAAAUCCCCGGGCUCAACCUGGGGAACUGCAUUGGUGACUGGCAGGCUAGAGUAUGGCAGAGGGGGGUAGAAUUCCACGUGUAGCAGUGAAAUGCGUAGAGAUGUGGAGGAAUACCGAUGGCGAAGGCAGCCCCCUGGGCCAAUACUGACGCUCAUGCACGAAAAGCGUGGGGAGCAAACAGGAUUAGAUACCCUGGUAGUCCACGCCCUAAACGAUGUCAACUAGUUGUUGGGGAUUCAUUUCCUUAGUAACGUAGCUAACGCGUGAAGUUGACCGCCUGGGGAGUACGUCGCAAGAUUAAAAC
rnacentral:rRNA from 1 species